ensembl:lncRNA
GUAUGGGACUGUGGGUGGAGGUAAAGUGGUAUGGGAAUGUAGGUUGAGGUAAAGAUGUAUGGGACUGUAGGUGGAGUUAUGUGACUGUAGGUGGAGGUAAAGAUGUAUGGGACUGUAGGUGGAGGUAAAGAGGUAAGUGACUGUAGGUGGAGUGAAAGAGGUAUCUGACUGUAGGUGGAGGUAUGGGAUUGUAGGUAGAGGUAUAGAGGUAUGGGACUGUAGGUGGAGGUAUGUGACUGUAGGUGGAGGUAAAGAGGUAAGUAACUGUAGGUGGAGGCAUGGGACUGUAGGUGGAGGUAAACAGGUUUGGGACUGUAGCUGGAGGUAAAGAGGUAUGUGACUGUAGGUGGAGGUAUAGAGGUAUGUGACUGUAGGUGGAGGUAAAGAGGUAUGGGACUGUAGGUGGAGGUAAAGAGGUAUGGGACUGUAGGUGGAGGUAUAUAGGUAUGGGACUGUAGAUGGAGGUAGAGAGGUAUAGGACUGGAGGUGGAGGUAAAGAGGUAUGUGACUGUAGGUGGAGGUAAAGAGGUAUGGGACUGUAGGUGGAGGUAAAGAGGUAUGUGACUGUAGGUGGAGGUAAAGAGGUAUGUGACUGUAGGUGGAGGUAAAGAGGUAUGUGACUGUAGGUGGAGGUAUAGAGGUAUGGGACUGUAGGUGGAGGUAAAGAGGUAUGGGACUGUAGGUGGAGGUAAAGAGGUAUGAGACUGUAGGUGGAGGUAUGGGACUGUAGGUGGAGGUAUAGAGUUAAGUGACUGUAGGAGGAGGUAUGGGACUGUAGGUGGAGGUAAACAGGUUUGGGACUGUAGCUGGG